UUCCCCUAGUAGCGGCGAGCGAAGCGGGAAGAGCUCAAAUUUAUAAUCUGGCACCUUCGGUGUCCGAGUUGUAAUCUCUAGAAGUGUUUUCCGCGUUGGACCGCACACAAGUCUGUUGGAAUACAGCGGCAUAGUGGUGAAACCCCCGUAUAUGGUGCGGACGCCCAGCGCUUUGUGAUACACUUUCAAUGAGUCGAGUUGUUUGGGAAUGCAGCUCAAAUUGGGUGGUAAAUUCCAUCUAAAGCUAAAUAUUGGCGAGAGACCGAUAGCGAACAAGUACCGUGAGGGAAAGAUGAAAAGCACUUUGGAAAGAGAGUUAACAGUACGUGAAAUUGUUGGAAGGGAAACGCUUGAAGUCAGACUUGCUUGCCGGAGCUUGCUUCGGUUUGCAGGCCAGCAUCAGUUUUCCGGGGUGGAUAAUGACGGUUUGAAGGUAGCAGUCUCGGCUGUGUUAUAGCUUUCCGUUGGAUACAUCCUGGGGGACUGAGGAACGCAGCGUGCUUUUUGCGAAAGACUCGUC
rnacentral:rRNA from 1 species